CAGGGGAGCAGUGUACCAGCUACCCACAGCCCGGGUCCAUUUGAAUUGGGGAGCGGGGUCUGGGAAUGUGGAGGUGGGGUUGAUGCCGCAACUACCCGCCAAAGUUUUGUUGGGGAAUGAGCUGGGGAGACUGACAUCCGCUUAUGAGCCACAGAUUCCAGCCACUGGAGAAGCGCAUCCUGUUACCCGCCAACAGACCCGCACCUCACACCCGGAGGUUCAAGUAAGAGACCCUUCCCCUUCUUUAGAGUAUGUUCCCUGGGUGCCCCUAGUGAGUUUGAGGCAGAAGUAGCUACCAAUCCCACACUGCAGGUUUAAAGGGAUAAGGUUAUGUCUGGUCAACCUGGGGUAGAGGGGGAGCGAUUUUGUAUGGGAGGGGAAAUUGUUAUACUGAGAGACUGAAAAGAGAGUAGACGAGUCAGACCUGAUCACCAGUAGGCAGUUGGUGGUACCGUAGCAGUACCGAUCAGAACUGCUCCGACUAGCGCGUGAUAUUCCACUGUCCGGCCACGUAGGAGAGAGCUGUACUCUGUACCGGUUAACCCAGCGUUUUUUCUGGCCGGGGAUAAGUUAGGAGGUAUUGCAGCAUGUGCGACACCUGUCAGAGGGUAGGAAAGAGGGGGGACCCACAGGAAAGCUAAAUUACACCCCUUAACCAUAGUCGAGGAACCGUUCAGGCGAGUAGCGGUUGACAUAGUAGGUCCCUUGAAGGCUAACCCUUCUGGCAAACAAUAUAUUUUGACAGUGGUGGACUAUGCCACAAGGUAUGCAGAGGCGGUGGCGUUGUCUAACAUCCACUCCGAAACGGUAGCUGAGGCCCUUAUGCAAAUCUUCUCCAGAGUGGGGUUUCCCAGGGAGAUAGUCUCAGAUCGGGCCACACAGUUUACCGCGGAGGUCACUCAGCACCUCUGGAAAUUCUGUGGUAUUAAACUCCUCAUAGUUUUGUUGGUUACGCAGAGACCAAUGGGCUCUGCGUACAGUUUAAUGGAACAUUGAAACAGAUGCUCCGAACCUUUGAGACCCAUCGGGACUGGGAACAAUUCCUGCCCCACCUCUUUGCCUACCAGGAGGUGCCUCAGCAAUCCACCGGGUUCUACCCGUUUGAAUUGUUUGGGAGGCGAGUAAGAGGCCCGUUAGACCUUAGUAAGGAACACUGGGAGGGAGACCGUAGCACGGACGGUACCCCAAUCAUACCAUAUGUACUGGAGUUCCAGAACCGGCUGGAAGAGUUGACCCGGUCAGUACGGGAAAACCUUCAGGCAGCCCAGACACGCCAGCGCACCUAGUAUGAUCGGAGCGCCAGGGACCGUAGCUUUCAGGUCGGGCAUAAAGUUUUGAUUUUGAAACCUGUCCGACAUGACAAGCUACAAGCCGCCUGGCAGGGCCCUUAUAAGGUGUUGGAACAACACUGUGACAUCACCUAUAUAAUUGGUCCGUGUACCGGCAGGGGGGGGCGUGAUGCAUGCUCCAUGUAAACAUGAUGAAGCCCUAACGGGAGCACUCCAAUGACGUGACGUCCAUUUGCGCGCCCUUUUCCGAGGAGUUUGACAAUCUUCCCCUCCCAGACCUGUUGGGGGACGGAACAUUGCCCAGUGAUUUAGCAGAAGUUAAGUUUGGAGACCGGCUGAGUCCCCAGGAGCGUAGCGAGGUACAGCAACUCCUCAGGGAGAAGCAGGAGACCUUCUGCAAUAUGCCUGGCUACAAUCCUCUGGCCACACACCGCGUAGAGACCCUGGGUCAACUCCCACUGCGCCAGACUCCAUACCGCAUCCCUGAGGCGGUAAGGGAGAAUAUACACAGGGAGUUUGAUUAGAUGCUCCAAGUGGGGGUGACUGAGCCCUCAGACAGCCCCGGGGCCUCCCCUAUAGUCCUCGUACCCAAGCGGGACGGUACGACCCGCUUCUGUAUGGACUACCGUAGGUUAAACGAAAAGACAGUGUCAGACGCUUAUCCCAUGCCCUAGAUAGACAAGCUGCUGAACCGGAUGGCCAGGGGCCAAUACCUCACUACCUUUGAUCUAUGUAAGGGGUAUUGGCAAAUCCCACUGGCCCCGGACGCCAUCCCUAAGUCUGCAUUUGUCACCCCAUUCAGCUUAUACCAAUUUAAGGUAAUGCCGUUUGGGAUGAACUCUCCGGCUACAUUUCAGAGGGUGGUGGACAGUCUCCUCGAGGGGUGCCAAGACUAUACCUGUGCAUACCUCGAUGAUAUUGCCAUCUUCAGCAAUACUUGGCAGGAGCACCCAUAUAGGAGCGGUUCUAGACAGGAUCCGGGAGGCAGGGUUAACCUUGAAGCCCGCUAAGUAAUAUAGGGAUGGCUGUGGUUCAGUACCUCGGACAUAGGGUAGGUUGUGGGAAGCAGAAGCCUGAGCCAGCGCAGGUAGAGGCCGUAGCUCAGUGGCCAACUCCCCAGGACCAGAACCCAGGUAUUUCUUUCUAGGGACGGCAGGUUACUAUAGGAAGUUUGUUCCCAAUUAUAGCACCCUGGCCAAACCCCUUACCGACCUUAACCGGAAAAAUCUUCCCCACCAAGUAACCUGGACCACGGAGUGUGAGCAUACAUUCCAACAAUUGAAACAUGCUCUUAUAAAUGCCCCUGUCUUGACAGCUCCCGAUCCAACUAAACGCUUUCUUGUUCACACAGAUGCUUCUAUGUUUGGAUUAGGAGCAGUACUGAGCCAAGUUGGGGCUGAUGGAGAACAUCCAGUGGCGUACAUCGGCAGGAAACUGUUACCCAGAGAAGUGAGCUACUCCGCCAUUGAGAAGGAAUGCCUGGCUGGGGUGGACAACCAUUUUCGUUGCUCACGGAUCACAACCCGUUGGUCUGGCUAAACCGGGUGGCAGGGGACAAUGCCCGGCUGCUGCGCUGGAGCUGCACCAUUUUGACUUUAACAUCCAGUACAGCCCGGGAAAACAAAAUGGAAACGCCGACUUGUUGUCUAGACAAACUGACUUGGAGAAAUCAUCCGUGCUGGAUCUGACUCUGUAUGCCGGCUUGUGGGCAAGGGGGAGCUGUUUAGCAAAAUCUACCUGGCUGUCCAGCAUAUUUCCCUUCCAUUGUUUUCCCCACAGACUUUCGUGUGAAUUAAAACGUUCAUCUAAUUGUUCCUAUAAACUGUACUGAAAUACUUUAUUCACCAUACGAACACAAACUACCGAACACCGGACCACCUUGAUGCAUAAGUGUGACUUCAAUUAACCUCCCUGUUCACUUCAUUGAAUUUCUUAUUGAAAAGCACAAACUUGUUAAAGUCCCUGGGUGGCCGCCAUUUCGGGAGCCGAACACGUGGCGGCGGCUAUCUUAAACUCCCGACAGCGGUGUUUUGCCGUUGAGUGUCUGCAACUAAAAUCGGACACUCGACUAAGCGAACACCGCUGAGACCUCCAGAGUUUGAAUCCCACGAACAAGAGGAUUCAUCCGAAUGCAAACACAGCUCUGGAUGGCAUUGAGUUCGGGACUUUUUAGAAACAAAAACGUUAUACCUCCAUAACUCCUGAACCCCUGGUCCCAUCUGCAUGAUUUUUGAGUAUGUUUCUCACCCAGAUCAGGGAUACCAUAUUUAGGUGUGUACCUUACGUAUUUGGGGUACAGCUAGAACUUGGGGAAAACUGUGUACCUGUUUAAUUGUUAAACGUUUAUCUGAGGGGAGGAAAUGUGUGGGUUGUACCUUGUAACCAGAUUGGUUAUUGUAAUAAUUAUGGUGGGUGUCUCCCUUGCAUGGAAGGAUUGCAUAAAAGCAGGGGUUGUGUGAUUAAAGGUCCGUUCUGCUCCUGA